rnacentral:rRNA from 1 species
UACAGAGGGGGCAAGCGUUGUUCGGAAUUACUGGGCGUAAAGGGCGCGUAGGCGGCCGCUUAAGUCAGACGUGAAAUCCCUCGGCUCAACCGGGGAACUGCGUCUGAUACUGGGUGGCUUGAAUCCGGGAGAGGGAUGCGGAAUUCCAGGUGUAGCGGUGAAAUGCGUAGAUAUUGGGAAGAACACCGAUGGCGAAGGCAGCCAUCUGGACCGACACUGACGCUGAGGCGCGAAAGCGUGGGGAGCAAACAGG